AUUGAACGCUAGCGGCAGGCCUAACACAUGCAAGUCGAACGAGUGGCGGACGGGUGAGUAAUGUCUGGGAAACUGCCCGAUGGCGGGGGCUAACUACUGGAAACGGUAGCUAAUACCGCAUACCAUCGGAUGUGCCCAGAUGGGAUUAGCUAGUAGGUGGGGUAAUGGCUCACCUAGGCGACGAUCCGUAGCUGGUCUGAGAGGAUGACGAGCCACACUGGGACUGAGACACGGUCCAGACUCCUACGGGAGGCAGCAGUGGGGAAUUUUGCACAAUGGGCGCAAGCCUGAUGCAGCCAUGCCGCGUGUAUGAAGAAGGCCUUCGGGUUGUAAAGUACUUUCAGCGGGGAAGCGUUACCCGCAGAAGAAGCACCGGCUAACUACGUGCCAGCCGCCGCGGUAAUAC
rnacentral:rRNA from 1 species